rnacentral:rRNA from 1 species
UUGAUAGUACCUUACUACUUGGAUAACCGUGGUAAUUCUAGAGCUAAUACAUGCUAAAAACCCCAACUUCGGGAGGGGUGUAUUUAUUAGAUAAAAAACCAAUGCCCUUCGGGGCUCCUUGGUGAUUCAUAAUAACUUCUCAGAUCGCAUGGCUUUACGCCGGCGACGGUUCAUUCAAAUUUCUGCCCUAUCAACUUUCGAUGGUAAGGUAGUGGCUUACCAUGGUUUCAACGGGUAACGGGGAAUUAGGGUUCGAUUCCGGAGAGGGAGCCUGAGAAACGGCUACCACAUCCAAGGAAGGCAGCAGGCGCGCAAAUUACCCAAUUCCGAUACGGAGAGGUAGUGACAAUAAAUACUGAUACAGGGCUCUUUUGGGUCUUGUAAUUGGAAUGAGUACAAUUUAAACCUCUUAACGAGGAACAAUUGGAGGGCAAGUCUGGUGCCAGCAGCCGCGGUAAUUCCAGCUCCAAUAGCGUAUAUUAAAGUUGUUGCAGUUAAAAAGCUCGUAGUUGAACCUUUGGCCUGGCUGGCAGGUCCGCCUCACCGCGUGCACUUGUCCGGCCGGGCCUUUUCUUCUGGAGAACCGCAUGCCCUUCACUGGGUGUGUUGGGGACCAGGACUUUUACUUUGAAAAAAUUAGAGUGUUCAAAGCACGCCUUUGCUCGAAUACGUUAGCAUGGAAUAAUAGAAUAGACGUGCGGUCCUAUUUUGUUGGUUUCUAGGACCGCCGUAAUGAUUAAUAGGGACAGUCGGGGGCAUCAGUAUUCAAUUGUCAGAGGUGAAAUUCUUGGAUUUAUUGAGACUACUACUGCGAAAGCAUUUGCCAAGGAUGUUUCAUAUCAGUGACGAA